rnacentral:rRNA from 1 species
GACGAACGCUGGCGGCGUGCCUAACACAUGCAAGUCGAACGGAGAUACACGCUGAGACUGAAGACAGCUUGCUGGACGAAGGAUCUUGUGUAUCUUAGUGGCGGACGGGUGAGUAACGCGUGAGUAACCUGCCUUAAAGAGGGGGAUAACGUUCUGAAAAGAACGCUAAUACCGCAUGACAUUAUCUGGUCGCAUGACCGGAGAAUCAAAGGAGCAAUCCGCUUUAAGAUGGACUCGCGUCCGAUUAGAUAGUUGGCGGGGUAACGGCCCACCAAGUCGACGAUCGGUAGCCGGACUGAGAGGUUGAACGGCCACAUUGGGACUGAGACACGGCCCAGACUCCUACGGGAGGCAGCAGUGAGGAAUAUUGGGCAAUGGGGGAAACCCUGACCCAGCAACGCCGCGUGAGGGAAGACGGUUUUCGGAUUGUAAACCUCUGUCCUCUGUGAAGAUAAUGACGGUAGCAGAGGAGGAAGCCACGGCUAACUACGUGCCAGCAGCCGCCGUAAUAAAC